UACGUAGGGGGCAAGCGUUGUCCGGAAUCAUUGGGCGUAAAGAGCGCGUAGGCGGCCCUGUAAGUCCGCUGUGAAAGUCAAGGGCUCAACCCUUGAAUGCCGGUGGAUACUGCAGGGCUAGAGUCCGGAAGAGGCGAGUGGAAUUCCUGGUGUAGCGGUGAAAUGCGCAGAUAUCGGGAAGAACACCAGUGGCGAAGG
rnacentral:rRNA from 1 species